GCUCCCAUGGCGCAGUGGUCACUGCAUUCGCCUAGCAUGCGGGAGACCCGGGUUCGAUUCCCGGUGGUGUCG
rnacentral:tRNA from 1 species